rnacentral:rRNA from 1 species
GACGAACGCUGGCGGCGUGCUUAAUACAUGCAAGUCGAACGGAAAGGCUCUGCUUUUGCGGGGUGCUCGAGUGGCGAACGGGUGAGAAACACGUGAGUAACCUGAGCUUGACUUUGGGAUAACGUGAGGAAACUGGGGCUAACAACGGAUAGGAGCUCAUGAUGCAUGGUGGGGGUUGGAAAGUUUCGGCGGUUGGGGAUGGAAUCGCGGCUUAUUAGCCUGUUGGUGGGGUAGUGGCUUACCAAGGUUUUGACGGGUAGCCGGCCUGAGAGGGUGACCAGCCACAUUGGUACUGGGAUACGAGCCAGACGCCAACGGGAGGCAGCGGUGGAAAAUAUUGCACAAUAGGCGGAAGCCGUAUGCAGCGACGCCGCGUGCUGAAUGACGGCCUUCAGGGUGUAAACCGCUUUCGCCUGUAACGCAGCGUGAGUGACGGUAAUUUAUAAGAAAGCACCGGCUAACUACGUG